rnacentral:rRNA from 1 species
GACGAACGCUGGCGGCGUGCCUAACACAUGCAAGUCGAACGGAGAUUUCAGCAAUGGAAUCUUAGUGGCGAACGGGUGAGUAACGCGUAGACAACCUGCCUUCUAGCUGGGGACAACACUGCGAAAGUGGUGCUAAUACCGAAUGAUGUAUAUUGAGUGCAUGCUCGAGAUACUAAAGGUGGCCUCUAUUUAUAAGCUAUCACUAGAAGAUGGGUCUGCGUCUGAUUAGCUAGUUGGUGAGGUAACGGCUCACCAAGGCGACGAUCAGUAGCCGGGCUGAGAGGAUGAACGGCCACACUGGGACUGAGACACGGACCAGACUCCUACGGGAGGCAGAGGUGGGGAAUCUUCCGCAAUGGACGAAAGUCUGACGGAGCAACGCCGCGUGAGUGAAGAAGGUUUUCGGAUCGUAAAACUCUGUUUUCAGGGACGAAUGUGUGGAUUGUAAAUAAUGAUUCAUAAUGACGGUACCUGACAAGAAAGCCACGGCUAACUACGUGCCAGCAGCCGCCGUAACAC